GGUUCCUGUCCAACGUUAAUCGGGGCAGGGUGAGUCGACCCCUAAGGCGAGGCCGAAAGGCGUAGUCGAUGGGAAACAGGUUAAUAUUCCUGUACUUGGUGUUACUGCGAAGGGGGGACGGAGAAGGCUAUGUUGGCCGGGCGACGGUUGUCCCGGUUUAAGCGUGUAGGCUGGUUUUCCAGGCAAAUCCGGAAAAUCAAGGCUGAGGCGUGAUGACGAGGCACUACGGUGCUGAAGCAACAAAUGCCCUGCUUCCAGGAAAAGCCUCUAAGCAUCAGGUAACAUCAAAUCGUACCCCAAACCGACACAGGUGGUCAGGUAGAGAAUACCAAGGCGCUUGAGAGAACUCGGGUGAAGGAACUAGGCAAAAUGGUGCCGUAACUUCGGGAGAAGGCACGCUGAUAUGUAGGUGAAGUCCCUCGCGGAUGGAGCUGAAAUCAGUCGAAGAUACCAGCUGGCUGCAACUGUUUAUUAAAAACACAGCACUGUGCAAACACGAAAGUGGACGUAUACGGUGUGACGCCUGCCCGGUGCCGGAAGGUUAAUUGAUGGGGUCAGCGCAAGCGAAGCUCUUGAUCGAAGCCCCGGUAAACGGCGGCCGUAACUAUAACGGUCCUAAGGUAGCGAAAUUCCUUGUCGGGUAAGUUCCGACCUGCACGAAUGGCGUAAUGAUGGCCAGGCUGUCUCCACCCGAGACUCAGUGAAAUUGAACUCGCUGUGAAGAUGCAGUGUACCCGCGGCAAGACGGAAAGACCCCGUGAACCUUUACUAUAGCUUGACACUGAACAUUGAGCCUUGAUGUGUAGGAUAGGUGGGAGGCUUAGAAGUGUGGACGCCAGUCUGCAUGGAGCCGACCUUGAAAUACCACCCUUUAAUGUUUGAUGUUCUAACGUUGACCCGUGAUCCGGGUUGCGGACAGUGUCUGGUGGGUAGUUUGACUGGGGCGGUCUCCUCCUAAAGAGUAACGGAGGAGCACGAAGGUUGGCUAAUCCUGGUCGGACAUCAGGAGGUUAGUGCAAUGGCAUAAGCCAGCUUGACUGCGAGCGUGACGGCGCGAGCAGGUGCGAAAGCAGGUCAUAGUGAUCCGGUGGUUCUGAAUGGAAGGGCCAUCGCUCAACGGAUAAAAGGUACUCCGGGGAUAACAGGCUGAUACCGCCCAAGAGUUCAUAUCGACGGCGGUGUUUGGCACCUCGAUGUCGGCUCAUCACAUCCUGGGGCUGAAGUAGGUCCCAAGGGUAUGGCUGUUCGCCAUUUAAAGUGGUACGCGAGCUGGGUUUAGAACGUCGUGAGACAGUUCGGUCCCUAUCUGCCGUGGGCGCUGGAGAACUGAGGGGGGCUGCUCCUAGUACGAGAGGACCGGAGUGGACGCAUCACUGGUGUUCGGGUUGUCAUGCCAAUGGCACUGCCCGGUAGCUAAAUGCGGAAGAGAUAAGUGCUGAAAGCAUCUAAGCACGAAACUUGCCCCGAGAUGAGUUCUCCCUGACCCUUUAAGGGUCCUGAAGGAACGUUGAAGACGACGACGUUGAUAGGCCGGGUGUGUAAGCGCAGCGAUGCGUUGAGCUAACCGGUACUAAUGAACCGUGAGG
rnacentral:rRNA from 1 species